CGAGUCUUAACCGGGCGUUAAGUUGCAGGGUAUAGACCCGAAACCCGGUGAUCUAGCCAUGGGCAGGUUGAAGGUUGGGUAACACUAACUGGAGGACCGAACCGACUAAUGUUGAAAAAUUAGCGGAUGACCUGUGGCUGGGGGUGAAAGGCCAAUCAAACCGGGAGAUAGCUGGUUCUCCCCGAAAGCUAUUUAGGUAGCGCCUCGUGAAUUCAUCUCCGGGGGUAGAGCACUGUUUCGGCUAGGGGGCCAUCCCGGCUUACCAACCCGAUGCAAACUGCGAAUACCGGAGAAUGUUAUCACGGGAGACACACGGCGGGUGCUAACGUCCGUCGUGAAGAGGGAAACAACCCAGACCGCCAGCUAAGGUCCCAAAGUCAUGGUUAAGUGGGAAACGAUGUGGGAAGGCCCAGACAGCCAGGAUGUUGGCUUAGAAGCAGCCAUCAUUUAAAGAAAGCGUAAUAGCUCACUGGUCGAGUCGGCCUGCGCGGAAGAUGUAACGGGGCUAAACCAUGCACCGAAGCUGCGGCAGCGAACGUAUCACUUAAAGCGAUUCAGCGGGUUACGAUUGACGGAGCGAAGCGACGUCAAAGCGUAUACAAAGUCGAGUCGGUUUAAGGAUACGUUCGUUGGGUAGGGGAGCGUUCUGUAAGCCUGUGAAGGUGUGUCGUGAGGCAUGCUGGAGGUAUCAGAAGUGCGAAUGCUGACAUAAGUAACGAUAAAGCGGGUGAAAAGCCCGCUCGCCGGAAGACCAAGGGUUCCUGUCCAACGUUAAUCGGGGCAGGGUGAGUCGACCCCUAAGGCGAGGCCGAAAGGCGUAGUCGAUGGGAAACGGGUUAAUAUUCCCGUACUUGGUGUUACUGCGAAGGGGGGACGGAGAAGGCUAUGUUGGCCGGGCGACGGUUGUCCCGGUUUAAGCGUGUAGGUGUGUGUUCCAGGUAAAUCCGGUUCACUUUAACACUGAGGCGUGAUGACGAGGCACUACGGUGCUGAAGCAACAAAUGCCCUGCUUCCAGGAAAAGCCUCUAAGCAUCAGGUAACAUCAAAUCGUACCCCAAACCGACACAGGUGGUCAGGUAGAGAAUACCAAGGCGCUUGAGAGAACUCGGGUGAAGGAACUAGGCAAAAUGGUGCCGUAACUUCGGGAGAAGGCACGCUGACACGUAGGUGAAGUGAUUUACUCAUGGAGCUGAAGUCAGUCGAAGAUACCAGCUGGCUGCAACUGUUUAUUAAAAACACAGCACUGUGCAAACACGAAAGUGGACGUAUACGGUGUGACGCCUGCCCGGUGCCGGAAGGUUAAUUGAUGGGGUCAGCGCAAGCGAAGCUCCUGAUCGAAGCCCCGGUAAACGGCGGCCGUAACUAUAACGGUCCUAAGGUAGCGAAAUUCCUUGUCGGGUAAGUUCCGACCUGCACGAAUGGCGUAAUGAUGGCCAGGCUGUCUCCACCCGAGACUCAGUGAAAUUGAACUCGCUGUGAAGAUGCAGUGUACCCGCGGCAAGACGGAAAGACCCCGUGAACCUUUACUAUAGCUUGACACUGAACAUUGAGCCUUGAUGUGUAGGAUAGGUGGGAGGCUUUGAAGCGUGGACGCCAGUCUGCGUGGAGCCGACCUUGAAAUACCACCCUUUAAUGUUUGAUGUUCUAACGUGGACCCGUAAUCCGGGUUGCGGACAGUGUCUGGUGGGUAGUUUGACUGGGGCGGUCUCCUCCUAAAGAGUAACGGAGGAGCACGAAGGUUGGCUAAUCCUGGUCGGACAUCAGGAGGUUAGUGCAAUGGCAUAAGCCAGCUUGACUGCGAGCGUGACGGCGCGAGCAGGUGCGAAAGCAGGUCAUAGUGAUCCGGUGGUUCUGAAUGGAAGGGCCAUCGCUCAACGGAUAAAAGGUACUCCGGGGAUAACAGGCUGAUACCGCCCAAGAGUUCAUAUCGACGGCGGUGUUUGGCACCUCGAUGUCGGCUCAUCACAUCCUGGGGCUGAAGUAGGUCCCAAGGGUAUGGCUGUUCGCCAUUUAAAGUGGUACGCGAGCUGGGUUUAGAACGUCGUGAGACAGUUCGGUCCCUAUCUGCCGUGGGCGCUGGAGAACUGAGGGGGGCUGCUCCUAGUACGAGAGGACCGGAGUGGACGCAUCACUGGUGUUCGGGUUGUCAUGCCAAUGGCACUGCCCGGUAGCUAAAUGCGGAAGAGAUAAGUGCUGAAAGCAUCUAAGCACGAAACUUGCCCCGGGAUGAGUUCUCCCUGAGACUUAGAGUCUCCUGAAGGAACGUUGAAGACGACGACGUUGAUAGGCCGGGUGUGUAAGCGCAGCGAUGCGUUGAGCUAACCGGUACUAAUGAACCGUGAGGCUUAACCUUACAACGCCGAA
rnacentral:rRNA from 3 species